rnacentral:tRNA from 1 species
GGGCCCGUAGCUUAGCAAGGUAGAGCGGCGGGCUCUUAACCCGUAAAAGCGCCGGAAAUUUGAUGAGGCUGCUUCGGGAAGGUCGAGGGUUCAAUUCCCUCCGGGCCCGCCA